rnacentral:rRNA from 1 species
GACGAACGCUGGCGGCGUGCUUAACACAUGCAAGUCGAACGGAAAGGCCCUGCUUUUGUGGGGUGCUCGAGUGGCGAACGGGUGAGUAACACGUGAGUAACCUGCCCUUGACUUUGGGAUAACUUCAGGAAACUGGGGCUAAUACCGGAUAGGAGCUCCUGCUGCAUGGUGGGGGUUGGAAAGUUUCGGCUGUUGGGGAUGGGCUCGCGGCUUAUGAGCUUGUUGGUGGGGUAGUGGAUUACCAAGGCUUUGACGGGUAGCCGGCCUGAGAGGGUGACCGGCGACAUUGGGCCUGCGGGAGGGCCCAGACUCGUACGGGAGGCAGAAGGCGAGAAUAUGGCACAAUGGGGGGAAGCCUGAUGUGACGACGCCGCGUGCGGGAUGACGUCCUUCUGGGUGUAAACAGCUUUCGCCUGUGACGUAGAGUGAUUGACGGUAAUGGGUAAAGAAGCACCGGCUAACUACGUG